UACGGAGGAUGCAAGCGUUAUCCGGAAUGAUUGGGCGUAAAGCGUCCGCAGGUGGCUAUGUAAGUCUGCUGUUAAAGAGUGAGGCUCAACCUCAUAAGAGCAGUGGAAACUACAUAGCUAGAGUGCGUUCGGGGCAGAGGGAAUUCCUGGUGUAGCGGUGAAAUGCGUAGAUAUCAGGAAGAACACCGGUGGCGAAAGCGCUCUGCUAGGCCGCAACUGACACUGAGGGACGAAAGCUAGAGGAGCGAAUGGG
rnacentral:rRNA from 1 species